CUCCUUGGACGUGGGGUUGGUCCUCCCGGCCGCCACCCCUGGCCUCAGGAGUAGGUUGCUCCUCCAGGCCGCCGCCCUGGCCUCGGGCGUGGGGGCGUGGGGUAGCUCCUCCUGGCCGCCGCCCCUGACCUCGGACGCUGGGUAUCUCCUCUCGGCCGCCCCGCCUGACCUCCGACGCGGGGUAGCUCCUCUCGGCCGUUCCUGCGCCGUCACAGUCUGGUACUCUUCGCUGCUGCCCCUGACCUCGGACGUGGGGUAACUCCUCUUGGCCGCCGCCCUUCGGGCAUGGGGUCCUCCCAGCUUCCAUCCCUGACCUCGGACGUGGGGUGGCUCCUCUCGGCUGCGCUUAGCGCGCCGGUCGCAGCCGCCUGCGCUUAGCGGUAUUUUGUUACAGCAGCUCAAAUAAAUGAAGACACAAGGGAAAAUCAGCAUGACAUCUCAGCUCAAUCAAAAUACCGAAAUUUCCAAGAAGUCUUCUCAGGUGGCCAAAUUGGGAAUCACCUUUAACAACAGCCUGCAGUGGCAGAGCUCACAUGUGAGGCAGCUAACUGUCCUGCUACCAGAAGACGAUGAUUCUACAUGUGAGCUCAUCAGCUUAUUGCAAGAUAUCCACAUCAUCGUCUCUGACAUCACCAUCGUCCUCGUGGUCACCAUCAACAUCAUGGAAAACCAGCGUAGGGUACUUCAAAACCACAUGCUUUGGAACUACACAGAUCUGAUUUCGAAUUCUUCCCUCUCCAGUGUGUUACCGUGGGUGCUUCACUAGCAUGUUUGUAUGUCAGUUUCUGCACUGAUUUAAGUGAAAGUGAUUAUGAUACCCACAUAGGCGUCUUCAGGAGAAGCUAGGGUAAAGUAUUGUUGGGGUGCAGCCUGUAAGCCCUAGUAGUUGCCCAGCCUUAAGGCAAAGAAAGGGUCUAGAGACAGAGACAUCCAUGGCUUAUUGGAUGAGACCUUACAUAUAUGAAGCAGGUUCCUGGAGCAACACCCUAUCAAGUGCAGCAGACGGCAGGCAGGACAUGGCAGCAAUCUUUGUCACUUCGGGGAGGAGGCUACCAUUUAUAGGGGGAAUUGAUAUCAGGUUGGCUCAUCAAUUACCACGGAAAUCAGAGGGUGGGGCAGGGGUCAAGCACAUAGGCAGUUACUAAUGAAGCCCCAUAAUUAUGAGGAUUGAAGCAGGGAUUGAUCAAGCAGGGGAUGUACAGAGAGCAAGAGACAAACCAUCUUGAAUGGACUGACCGUACAAGUUUGGAAAGUAUCUGAUGUUGAGACUCAAAAAAUAUUACUCCCUUGGGACUUCCCUGGUGGUCCAGUGGCUAAGACUCCAUGCUUCUAGUGCAGGGGGCCCAGGGUUCCAUUCCUGGUCAGCGAACUAGAUCCCACAGGCCGCAACCAAGAAUUCAUAUGCCGCAACUACAGAUGCUGCCUGCUGCAAUGAAGAUUGAAGAUCCAUUGUGCUACAACUAAGACUUGGAGCAGCUAAAUAAAUAUUAAAACAAAAUAUUCUUCUGUCUCUAA
rnacentral:lncRNA from 1 species